UUCUGAAUGGACGAGGCUGGAGUCCACAGUGUAGAGACACUGAAGUGAUAGUGCAGGUGCUUGUUAGAGAACAAGGGUACUGAGCAUGACCAAGACAAGAAGUCACUUGGAUGUCUAUCCACUCGUCAGUGACUUGCUUGAUGUUGCAGUAGUGUGACUGAUCCUUUGACCUGCAGUGCUUCGGCUACUCACAGUAAGGUUAUUGUAGUUUGACUGCACAAAUACAUGGUCUCUAGCCAUAUGGGUCCAUGCAGUGUAGAUUGGCUGCAGUAGGUUCACUGUAGGAGUAGGGUAUGCACCUAUAAGGAAUCUAUCGACCUUGAUAGAAGAGGAGUGAUCCUAUGUGAUUUAUUAGACUGAGUUCUAAGAUCUUGGCCAGGGCAGUAAUAUAAAGUGGAAAAAGAGUUUUCCACUAUCGAACUCGAGUCGAAUAAAUCUUGACAUAUGACAGACGAUGGGGUUUGACGAGUUGUCCAUGACCUCCGUCCUGUAGGGAUCCACGAUAGUAGGACUGUAUCACACGUUAACUGCACCUAGAGGUUCAUCAUUCCAUUCUGCU
rnacentral:lncRNA from 1 species